GACGAACGCUGGCGGCGUGCUUAACACAUGCAAGUCGAACGAUGAACUUGGAGCUUGCUCUGGGGGAUUAGUGGCGAACGGGUGAGUAACACGUGAGUAACCUGCCCUGGACUCUGGGAUAACUUCGAGAAAUCGGAGCUAAUACCGGAUAGGACCUUGCACCGCAUGGUGUGGGGUGGAAAGUUUUUCGGUUUGGGAUGGACUCGCGGCCUAUCAGCUUGUUGGUGAGGUAAUGGCUCACCAAGGCGUCGACGGGUAGCCGGCCGGAGAGGGGGACCGGCCACACUGGGACUGAGGAACGGCCCAGACGCCUACGGGGGGCAGCAGUGGGGAAUAUUGCACAAUGGGCGCAAGCCUGAUGAAGCAACGCCGCGUGCGGGAUGACGGCCUUCGGGUUGUAAACCGCUUUUAGUAGGGAAGAAGCCUUCGGGUGACGGUACCUGCAGAAAAAGGACCGGCUAACUACGUGCCAGCAGCCGCCGUAAUAC
rnacentral:rRNA from 1 species